rnacentral:rRNA from 1 species
AUUGAACGCUGGCGGCAGGCCUACACAUGCAAGUCGAGCGGUUGAGGUAGCUUGCUACCGAAGCAGCGGCGAACGGGUGAGUAAUGCAUGGGAAUCUGCCUGGUAGUGGGGGACAACGUUUCGAAAGGAGCGCUAAUACCGCAUACGCCCUACGGGGGAAAGGGGGGGAUCUUCGGACCUCUCGCUAUCAGGUGAGCCCAUGUCAGAUUAGCUUGUUGGUGAGGUAAAGGCUCACCAAGGCGACGAUCUGUAACUGGUCUGAGAGGAUGAUCAGUCACACUGGAACUGAGACACGGUCCAGACUCCUACGGGAGGCAGCAGUGGGGAAUAUUGGACAAUGGGGGCAACCCUGAUCCAGCCAUGCCGCGUGUGUGAAGAAGGCCUUCGGGUUGUAAAGCACUUUCAGUGGGGAGAAAGGUCAUUCACCUAAUACGUGAGUGAAUUGAUGUUACCCACAGAAGAAGCACCGGCUAACUCCGUGCCAGCAGCCGCAGUAA